rnacentral:lncRNA from 1 species
GGGUUUUAAACCGAAAACAACGUUUUACGGAUUGAAUAACACGUAUAUAACCUUCAUUAAGUGUCUUAACCAGAUUAUGAAGUCAAACUUUGGUGUUUUACCCAAUAACAAACACUUUUACGAUUGCAUGAACGAAAACCACACAACAUAAGAGAAACACUUAUACACUUUAACAAACGGUAAAGAGAAUACUUACAAUUAUUUUUGAAAUUUUGUUAUUUCAUGGUUUAUGAUCAUCUAUACAAAGAAUCCUCAAUGGUAUGCAUUAUAAUUGUAUAAGAAAUGAAAUACGGCGAAAAUAAUCGAUGUUUUGAAACCCCAAACCCUGGUUCCUCGGAAUUUCCUCGGUAAAUUCCGAGGAAAUUCCGAGGAAACCUGGUUCCUCGGAAUAUUUUCAUUUAACCGGGUAAACCAAGCCGCCAAAUAUUUCGCGAAAAUUGAAUUAAUGAUUUCCGAGGAAAUUCCGACGGAUAUAGUAAAUAUUUCCGAGGAAAUUCCGACGGAUAAUUUCCGUCGGACCCCUCAUUUUAUUAGGUCGAGCCCGACCUUCUUCCCCAUUUCUCUCCGCCGCAAUCUCUCUUUCUCCUGCGAUUUCGUCGACUCCUCUCUUCUCCCUUGCGAUUUGCGGCGCUUUCUCUCUUCUCCCUCGCGAUUUCCACCCUAAUCCUCAUGUAUGAACCCUAUCCCACUCUUUUAGGUUAGAUUUGUAUGGUUUUUAAGUAGAUUUGAUGAUUUUGGAAUGAGAUUUAUAGAUUUUGUUAGGGUGAAUGGUAGAUUUAUAGAUUUUGUUAGGGUGAAUGGUAGAU